AUGCAACCAACAAAGCCCAGAACCUGGGAAAUAUUUAUAAUAGAAUAUAGGCAUAGCUAUGCCUAGAUCAUCCCCAUUUUAUGUUUAUAUCAGUUGUCUUAAAUUCUUGGUGCUGUGAGUCGAUCACAGCAUGUAGCCUCUUGCUCUAGGCUGAGCCCAUUUUACUGUUGAAAACAGCACAGCUUACAGUGGAAGGCAAAAGACUGCAACCUCUUUUUACAGCUUACCUUUUCAGUCUAGUUUAGAUCAGAACCUGGAUCUGAAUACCUUUGAAGUGGCCUAGAGAACAGCAGGACCAUCCUGGAUGAACAUGUCCCCCAGUGAGCCAUCCCUCACUCCUGUGUGUUAUGUUUUACAGACCAACAGCAAGGCUUUCACUGCCAAGACAUCUUGUGUGCGCAGACGCUACCGGGAGUUUGUGUGGCUGAGGAAGCAGCUUCAGAAAAAUGCUGGCUUAGUGCCUGUCCCAGAGCUGCCUGGAAAAUCCACAUUCUUUGUGGGCAGCACUGAUGAGUUCAUUGAGAAGCGGAGACGAGGGCUCCAACAGUUCCUAGAGAAAGUUGUACAAAAUGUGGUCCUCCUGUCAGACAGCCAGCUGCACCUCUUUCUGCAGAGUCAGCUGUCUGUGCCUGAGAUCGAAGCAUGCAUGCGGGGCCAGGGCCCUCUGACGGUUACCGAGGCCAUACUCCACUAUGCCUUGUCCAACUGUGGUUGGGUGCAGGAAGAAGAUGGCUGCUCUGCUGUCCUGACUAGGGGAAACCUCCAUGGCAGCUGCUCUGGGUUGGAAAGUCUCUGUAGUCGGGGCUGCCUCGUGUCCUUCCCACAGUGGUGUGACUUUGGCAUGGAAGACAACAAUGUGGAGAGUCUGGAUGCUCCUGCCAAGUCGCUGCCUGAGCUGCUGGAGACAGAGUGAGCAGCGUGAAUGACCAUGGAUGCUCUGGCAGAGGGGGACGGGGGGGGCAGCAGUAAGUCUUCUGGUGAAGAAGAGGAUGGUGGCUGAGUGGCUCUCAGCUGUCUUGGUGAGCUUCCAGAUAUAGUUUGAAAAGGUUCUAGCCUCAGCAAGGCAGUCAGGAUGUGCUGGGAAGCCUAAAGGAGCAGCAGCUGUUGCUGGACCCAGAGCUUGUCAGGACCUAUGUGCAAAAAUUUAAAUGACUAAAUUAUAACAUCAGUGCCUUUUGCACAAAAAUGUAAACUUGUGACUGGGACCACCUGAAACAUAACAAUAAAGUUAAUCCCAUUUCCGGCUUUGGUAUCAAGUACACCCUAUGCCCAACUACACUAAAUUGAUUAUGAAUAAAUUCUUCUUUCAAAGUGAUUGCCUCUCCCUUGUUAUCACAUUCCUCACAAAUCUAGGUGUCUGUGCCAGUUGGAAAAUAUUUUGGGAUCUGCCCUGUUAUAACAAUGACCUACACAGUGCCUUACAAUUCAUGGUCUGAGGUGCUCAAUUCAAGUAAUCAAGUCCUACUGCAAUUAAUCGAGUAGUAAACCUCCAGCUUAGGGUGUUGAGCUAGAGCAAUCAAGCCAUACUAUAGUUAAGCAAAUGAGAAACCUCCAGAGCGAUUAAGGGUUUUUGUGCAUACCAGUUUCACCCACAACAACCAGAGACGGAUCCAAAAGGCUAACAUUUACAACACAGCCAAAGGACAAUGACCCUCCACCCUGUCAGCUUUGUCCGGACCCUCAUCUUCAACCCAUCAAGAAAAUAUGCUUUGAAGAAACAGUAUAAAGCAAGACAGAACUGCCAGCAAGGUAUGUGCAGUCCAGGGAAGAACAAGAAGCCAUCCUGCUAUCCAGCCAACACGUGAAGGAUACAUGCAUUGAGGUUGUACAAGAACUGCUGCCUGCCUGCAUUGGGUAAAGAUCUCUUUGCAGCUAAGACAAUACUAGGACUAAUAGCUCAUUUUAUAUUGGGAAAGAGUCUUUUUCUGUUAUUUAGUUGUGUAGCUUAUUAGUAGUUAUUAAAACAAGGCUUUCUGCUAUUCAUCAA